AAGUCGUAACAAGGUUUCCGUAGGUGAACCUGCGGAAGGAUCAUUAACACGUAGUUUUAAUUAACUCACGUAUUAACCAAACGCGAACUCUGUUAUUAUGCCUGUUCUUGGGGGGAGCCUGGCCGUAAGGGAAAGGGUGUGCAUGAGUGACCGGUGCUUCGCGCAUAGGGCUUGUGCUAACUUACGAGCCUCAGCGCUUAAAUUCGCGGGAAGCCCCAUUAAUAGUAGAAAAUCGUCGGCUAUUGUGGAGUCUGCACCAUGACUUGCAAUAUGCGGAAAUUAUUACCUACUCAUUUAUACUUAUUCUGACUUUGUACGUCAAAUUUGUGAAUUCCUGACUUUAACCGGUCGGUUGAGUUUGCGAAUCUUUGAUGUCGUAUAUUACUAAUACGAAACAACUCUUAGCAACGGAUAUCUUGGUUCUC
rnacentral:misc_RNA from 1 species